AUGGAAGCUCUCCUCGGUUUAAUUUUGCGCAAGAACUGUGAAUGUGUUAUACACGCCUUCUUUUCUUCAGCGUGCCAUUCAGAAACCACUUUCAAAAGUAUUUAUUUCCAAAUUCCAAAGGUUUUCUGCAAGCCCACUUUACUAUCAACUGCUUUGGUAUUUCACUUCACCGCCUCUCCGGCGACAGAGCAGGCAGUAGACGGUGCCGGCGACGAAAAAGCUCACGAACCAGGCAUUGUUGUAGGCUGCUACGAGUGCACCGGAGACACUCGGCAGAACGCCAACCUUGUGAAGAAACCCCGGCACGAUCGGGGCAACUCCGGCCGCCAUCGCCACCAUGGCGGCAACGUUGAAACCACCCUGGAAGUAGUAGGGGCUCUCCCUCUCCUCCGAGUAGAGCGCGUCGACGUCCAAGGCGGUGCGCCUCACAAUGUAGUGGUCGGCGAGGAUGACCCCUCCGAUGGGGCCCAUGAGCGCCGAGUAGCCGAGCAGCCAGGUGUAGACGAAGCUCUCGCUGGAGCUGAGCAGCCGCCACGGCUGGCAGGCGAUGCCGAGCAACGCGGUGAUGAGCGCCCCCUGCGAGAACGUGAACCUCCGGGGGCUCAUGCUGACGAACGCGUUCGCCGGCGCCACCACGUUGGCGGCGAUGUUGGUCGUGAUGGUCGCGAGGCUGAUGCCGAAGAUGGCGAGGACCGUCGUCGCUGGCCCGCCGAUGCGCCCGAGGAGCUCGAUUGGGUCGGAGAUGAUGUGGCCGAAUAUGGCCUCCGUGGAGGAGGUCACGGCGAGCCCCGCGAAGGUGAACAUGCCCAUGAACACCGGCAGCCCGGCCUGGCCGAGCACCUGGUCCGCUUGGCUGCGCGCGUACCGCGCGAAGUCCGGUAUGUUGAUGGCCACCGUGGCCCAGAAGCCGAUGUUCGCCGUGAGCGCCGGGAAGAACACCUUCCAGAACUCGGCCCCUGUCAGUCUGGGAGGCAGCGAGAGGAUGCGCCCGAAGCCGCCGGCGGACACGUAUGCCCAGGUGAGCAGCGCGGAGGUGAGCACGAUGAGCACCGGCGCCGAGUACCUCUCGAGCUUCCGGAUGCCCUCCAUGCCGUUCAUGAUGACGCCGAGCUGCGCGGCCCAGAAGGCCAGGAAGCACGCGAACUCGAGCGGCGCCGCGCCGAGGCCGGGCACCGGCGUGAGCAGCGGCUGGUACGUCUUGAGAGCUGA
rnacentral:rRNA from 1 species